rnacentral:rRNA from 1 species
UACGUAGGGUGCGAGCGCUAAUCGGAAUUACUGGGCGUAAAGCGUGCGCAGGCGGUUUUGUAAGCCAGGUGUGAAAUCCCCGGGCUCAACCUGGGAAUGGCAUUUGGGACUGCAAGGCUGGAGUGCGGCAGAGGAGACUGGAAUUCCUGGUGUAGCGGUGAAAUGCGCAGAUAUCAGGAGGAACACCGAUGGCGAAGGCAGGUCUCUGGGCCACUACUGACGCUGAGAAGCGAAAGCGUGGGGAGCGAACAGG